AUCCAUCUGACGAGUCCUAAAUAGGACGAAACGCGCUACCUGGUU
rfam:Schistosoma margrebowiei strain Zambia genome assembly, scaffold: SMRZ_scaffold0000690